GACGAACGCUGGCGGCGUGCCUAAUACAUGCAAGUCGAGCGGACUUACAAAGCUUGUUUUUUUAGUUAGUGGCGGACGGUUGAGUAACACGCGGGCAACCUGCCUGUAUGACUGGGAUAACUUCGGUAAACCGGCGCUAAUUCCGGAUAAUCAUUUUCUUCUCCUGCAGAAAACCUUAAUGACGGUCGAUUCUGCUACUUCUAAAUGGUCCCGCGGCGCAUUAGCUAGUUGGUGAGGUAACGGCUCACCAAGGCGACGAUGCGUAGCCGACCUGAGAGGGUGAUCGGCCACACUGGGACUGAGACACGGCCCAGACUCCUACGGGAGGCAGCAGUAGGGAAUCUUCCGCAAUGGACGAAAGUCUGACGGAGCAACGCCGCGUGAGUGAUGAAGGUUUUCGGAUCGUAAAACUCUGUUGUUAGGGAAGAACAAAUACGAGAGUAACUGCGCAUACCUUGACGGUACCUAACCAGAAAGCCACGGCUAACUACGUG
rnacentral:rRNA from 1 species